UAGGGAAUAUUAGAAAUGGACGAAAGUCUGAUCUAGCAACACCGCGUGUGCGAAGAAGGCCUUCGGGUCGUAAAGCACUUUUUGGAAGGAAUAGGAAGGAAUGUACUUCCAGAAUAAGUCUCGGCUAACUACGUGCCAGCAGCCGCGGUAACACGUAGGAGGCAAACGUUAUCCGGAUUUACUGGGCGUAAAGCGCGUGUAGGUGGUACUGUAAGUAGGGCGUGAAAGCUCCUGGCUCAACUGGGAGAGGCCGUUCUAAACUGCAGAGCUAGAGGAUGGUAGAGGGAGGUGGAAUUCCGGGUGUAGCGGUGGAAUGCGCAGAUAUCCGGAGGAACACCAGUGGCGAAGGCGGCCUCCUGGACCAUUCCUGACACUCAGACGCGAAAGCUAGGGUAGCAAACG
rnacentral:rRNA from 1 species